AUACGGAGGGUGCGAGCGUUAAUCGGAAUUACUGGGCGUAAAGGGUGCGUAGGCGGUUUGAUAAGUCGGAUGUGAAAGCCCCGGGCUUAACCUGGGAAUUGCAUUCGAUACUGUCAGGCUAGAGUAUGUCAGAGGUUGGCGGAAUUCCUGGUGUAGCGGUGAAAUGCGUAGAUAUCAGGAGGAACACCGGUGGCGAAGGCGGCUAACUGGGACAAUACUGACGCUGAGGCACGAAAGCGUGGGGAGCAAACAGGAUUAGAAACCCUAGUAGUCC
rnacentral:rRNA from 1 species